GUUAUAACAACCAUGCUCACGGUCAAGAGCGUCUUGGACCCUCACAUGAGUAAUUUAUCGAAAGUUGAAUUAAAUUGAUGUUAAUUAUUGCUAUUAUCCUUAUUUACCUUCAUGCUUAAGGUGGGUGGUAUAAACUUAAACUUAGUAAUUGCUAAUAAAACUUGACCAACCAAUUAAAAUGGUGAAAUGCUGUUUAAACAUUGCCUAUCCUUGCAUAGCCUUACACUACACAUU
rnacentral:lncRNA from 1 species